CCAUCCAUGUUGUCGCAAAUGUGAUAUCUGGAAGCCAUGUCAGAAAAAUACCAAAAAUAGAGGAAGAACAAGAAGAUUUACUUGAUUAAAAAAGUGGCUGAAAGACAAGUUCAGAGAGGGAUUCAGGAACAUGAGAGAAUUUGAAAAAUAUGAUCCAGAAAAAAUAGGCAAGAGAGAUGGACAAGUUAAGAGAACAUGUCAUUAGUCAACAAGAAUUUCAAUCGGCCAUUGAAAGCAGAUAACAGAUUUACAUAUAUGCUUUCUCAGUAAAGUACUGUGCAUGAUGGAAUCUUUGGUGAUUUCACUUCUACACUGCACAUAGUGGAUCAAUUUUUUUUUUCAUGUUAAAAUAACAACGAAAAGUUGCUUUCACUUAAGUUCACAAAAGAAAACUACAUAAACGAGUGGAUCUUAGGUGAGAAACUUUAGAUAUUUUCCUACCCAGUAAAAAAAACUACCAAUGAUAAGUUCCUGGAUUUCCAAUGAUAAUAUUCAGAGUGAACCACUUUAUUUAUUCCUCUGUACCCGUACAUCUUGUAAUCAAAUAAGUCAUGUCCCUAAUUCUAUUUAUUAUGAAUGAGUUCAUCAUCAUCCCUGAUGUGAGAAGAGGCUUUUAUUUCUGCUUAGUGACCAUGAAAAUUUCUAAGCCACCAGGUGGCAGAGUGCCCUUGGCUUAGAUUGAAUAUUGCAUUUUUCCCACUGAUUGCCAAACGUAGCCUAUAGCUAAUGUGAGUGGCUUUCAAACCUUUGGCUCAUGUGACCCUAAAAUAAUUCUGAAAACAUAGGCAUGCCCCCCAAACUUUCAACUUUAUGUGUAAAAUUAUUCAACAAAAGUUUACGUAACAGAAGAGAUGUAAUUUCUGGCAUAGUGGGAAGAGUGAAAUUUUAAAAUAAAAUUAUUAUAUCGCUCUUAAAUGAAUCUAAUUGAAUGCAAAAUACCACAGGGAUUUGAUAGCCACCAUCAUCUAUUUUAAAAAUUUCAAGACAAGCUCAUCUUUUAUAGUUGGAUACUUUACAUUUCUCCUUUGUUUUCUGUGACAUCUUACUUUCCAUUUUAUUUUCUCUGUAGAAUGUUAUACUAUUGUAAGUGUUUUAGGGUUAAAAGCUUUGACCAUAUUCUUCUUCUUCUCUGCAACAAGAGUAUGUGCAUACACGAAACGAGGUGUUUUGUAUUUCCUGUGACUGUAAGGUUCUAUGUGUCACAUUUUUAUAUUUCUGAAUUUCUAAUAUAUGUUAGUAUAUAUUUCUAAAAUUUCCCCGGUAUACAUUUAUUUUUCAUGAAUUUGAAAAAUCCU